UCUUCUUCUAAAUAUAAAAAAGAACCAGCAAAUCGCCGCGUGAACCACCCUCCUCUUCUCUGUGUCACCGACGCUGGAACCCACUAAAUCACCAGUGACACCCCAUUCCCCUCUCCACUCCUUGCCGCCAUCUCCUCAUUCGCCCUCUCACCGAAAACCCCACAAGCGAACCACCUACACCACCUCCUCUCUCCGGCGCCGGUCUUUGCUCCACCUCUCUUCUUCUCACUAAUUCCGUCCAGAAUUCCCAUGAGCACCACCAGCACCACUUCUCUCCGCUCCACUAAGGACCAACGGACUCUAGUCAGCCAGCGAUAAAGAAGCUAGCCAAUCACCUCUCUAGUCUUGGGGAAGUGAUGAUGAACACAGUUAAGUCUAAAUUGAUCAAGGACUGUUGAAGUCGAUCUUUUUUUUGGGAUGAUUUUUCUAGUUAUAUGUCCACUCAAUACGCUCUUCAAAGGAACUGUUAGAUUUGGGAUUCACAGGUUUUGUUCAUUCAUCAAGGGUUGAGAUUUCUGAUUUUAUUAGCUGUAUGGGUUGUCGCUCGUUCUUCAUUACUUGACCAUAUUAUGUGUAAUCUUUUUCUUGACUAUAUAAUAAGAACUUCAUCUCAUUCUUUCCUCAUGACUGAUUGCUGUCAAAAAAUCCCCUCAAACUCUCUUUCUCUCUAAAAAUAAAUUGGGAAGCCUCUCAAGCUCUCCUCCUUCCUAUAUAAUCAUUGAUAGUCGGAAAUCUGCGGAGCUCUUCUGCUUUCUAGACAAUCAUUGGAAUACAUUCAUUGUGUUUCUGGAUUGAUUCUUCUGAACUGGUUAGUUUUCAUCGAAGUAAAUUCAAUUCUCAAUAUGGUAGUUUGUUGUAUUUUUAUUAUCUGUACUUGUUGGAAAGCUUGAACUCAUUAGGCAUUAUGUGGACAAAUCCAGGUAGGUCUCCUUGCUCGGUAUGCAUGUCAACCUAUUUUUGAGAACUAUGUGAAUCAUCUAGACAUUUUUAAGUGAGAAUAUUUAUGUAAUUGUGUUGUGCUACCCAUUUUUAUUUGAGAACUGUGAACCUGUAAUAUUAAAAUUGGAGUCUUUGGGUUGAGAACUGUGAACCUAUAAUAUUAAAAUUUGAAUCUUUGGGUUGUUUCAGAAGUAUGCCUUUUAUUUAUAUUAAAUAUAGGUAGUCAGACUUGUGUUUCAAUCUUUUAUGUACAAGAUUUUUGGACUCAUGAAAUCCUAGUAUGUGUGUACUUCAUGUGUUCAUUCUCUUCUAUAGUUGUGUGUGUGCUUGUUUUUCUUGUGUUUAGACGUGUGGCUAGAUUGAUAUUGGGACAACUAGGAGUCGCUCGGUAUUGGGAAAGAUAGGGUUUUUUGGUCCAUGAGGCCAACUCAUUAAUUUUUUUCCUUUCAUUUGUUGAUUUGUAUAAUUAUGAACAAACACUCCUGUAAUAAUAAUAAUAAUAAUGAGGGGUCGAUACUAAUUGGAGGUGAGAGAUUAUGUGCUACCUCCUUUCCCUUCCUUUAUAAAACUCAACCAAACCCCCAAAGUUCACUCCUUUUUCACUCUCUCUCGAGGAACUUCAAUUUCAGCCAUGGCUUCUGCUACUAGAAGGUUCGUAUUAUCUAAAAUUUUCUCUUUCGAAAAAUGAUUUUUGGUCGGAGACGGAUUCAUAAUUUUGAAGUUUACUAUAUAUGAUAAUUACUGUAGAUUUGUUUAUGGUUCCUUUAUACAUUUGUUUUUUAUAGAUAUUGGUUCCGAUUGUGAAUGGUACAGCUUCCGAUUGAGGCUAUACUGCAGAUUGCUGGUGUGGAGGUAAUUGUUGCUUCUGUUGAGAAUCAGCUUCAGAUUGAAGUAAUGUAUGGAAUUAAGAUCGUUGCUGAUGCUCUAAUUUCGGAUUCUGUAGAUACUGAGUUUGACCUUAUCUCGCUUCCGGUAUGUUUAUUGUUCAAGCUCAAAAAUUAGGCUUUGCUGAAUUGAACAUUGGUUAGUUGAACAUCAAUAUAUACUAAAUUAUUAGUUUAGUUCCUGGUCUAAAGUUUGAAAAUAGCUAAUACCUGCAUAAUUUAGUCUCUCCUGUCAGUUUAUAUGUCUUACUUGUACCUUUACUCGAUGUAGUAUUUUUUAGUCUUGUAUAGGUUUGUAUGACAGUUCAUCCAUCAUAAGCAUCCACGUCUCCCUGACACUCAUAGCUCGACUUUAGUCGUCCAAUAUUCAUUUUAUGUAACGUUUUUUGGUUUUAUAGUUUUUAUAUAGAACUUCCUUUUCACAUUUUGUGGUAUCUUUCUACCAGAUAUCACUCCGGUAACACUUGUUGCCACAAUCCAAUCUAAUCUCGCCUCAACUUCACUCUUUCUAGCCAGAUGUCACCCCUUUAUUUUCUUGAAUAUUUUAGUAAAUGCUAAAGUUUACUUGUGUCUCCAAUAAUACACCAGUGACCUGUCUUCUCACAGAAAGAGGCCAAUUGAAUAAGCUCUAGAUCUCUUGAAAAAUUAUGAUCUUAUAAACUUGUCUCCGGAGAGACAUUUAAAUGUGUCAUAUUACUACGAGAUAUAAAACUCGUGUUCAGUUGUUCAACUAUAACACUUGAUGUUCACUCCUUCAACUCCAUGUCCAUGGUUUUUUGAGUACUACUACCUACCCUCAGAGUUGAGUCAGAGUUGCCAGUAUUAGAUUCUGAUUUAAAUUUGUGGCAGUCAAACUAAGCUUUUGAGCACAAAUAUUACUAUAUCCCCUCUUAGUUUUUAAAUUACAGUACUGAUUGUCUUUUUUCGCCUUUUUGUUCUGUGUGAAGCAAAGCUUUUUCUUUUGUGGAAAUGCUUUUUUGAGAGGUCAAUCUGGUCUGUAAAACUAAAACAGAAGAAAAAUAUCUCUAGAUUAUUACUGCAUUUAGUGUGAUCACUAAUAAUAGUCUGUGUCAAAAGAUCUAUUGAGGUUCUGCUAGAACUUUAGAAUAUCUUUAGUGAUUAAAACACUCCUAAGCUAUAUUUUUUUUUGAGUCUCAUACCCAAACUAUUGAAAGUGGGAGAAACACACCUAAAUUAUUACACUUAAGUUUGAAAAAAACACCCCUGUACAUACUGGACCAAAUGUGUGUGUGCACACUCUUUUACGCGCGUGUGGCCUUGAUUGCCCACAUGGCUUCUUCUUUCUAAAAAUAAUAAAAUAUCAAAAACACACCUAAACUAGUCAGACUAUAUUUGUGGCAUCAUUAUGCAACCAAAUAGAGCAUAUUUUCUUUCUAUUGAAUUGUCACUUUUUACAGACUACUUCAUCAAUUUUUUUUUUCUGAUUACAACUAUUUAAACAACUAUGAGCAGCUAAGGACAGAAGUCAACAAAGCAUUUUUAGUAGCUCGAAGUAGAAAACUGAUUGGGUUUAGUUUGUAUAGUAUAGAAACAUAGAAACCAAGUAAGGCUUCACUUUGCAGAGCAACCUAAAAUGAUAUUAAACUACUUGGGAUGAAAAUCAGUAAACCGUGUUUAGUAACAUCAAAAAACAUAACACGAAUUUGAUACCAUCCUAUUCACAACCAAAAUACGAUACAAUCCUAUUCACAACCAAAAUACACGACUUAAGAACAGUUCGAACCACAUGAAAAAUCAGUCAUCAUGUUUAGUAGCUUACAAUAACUACUUGGGCUGAAAAUCAAUCACUGUGUUUAGUUACAUCAAAAUUCACAACAAAAAAUUGAUAUCGUCCUAUUCACAACCAAAAUACGCGACUUAAAAAUAGUUCGAGCCACAUGAAAAAUCAGCCGCAUCAUCCCUAAACACCUUCAGUUCUUGCUGCACCUUGUGAUGAAGUUUGUGACUGGAUGUUCUUCUGUUUAAGCAAAGUACUUUUAUGUUGAAGUUGACUUCCUGUGAUAGCACUUAUCUCCUUCCAUUUAAGACCUUUACUUGGUGUAUAUCCAAGGUCACCGGUAUGUUUAUUGUUCAAGAAAGAGUCCUAAAUAAAUUAAAAUAGAGUAACACUUGAGUUUUUUCUGUUUCAACAUUUGGAGUCUGUAAUUAAAGCUAAAAUACCACGGAUCAUAUCGGUUAUCAAUAAAAGCAUAGAUGAACUUGAAUCUGAGAUGGACCAUUUUGGGAGGCCUAUUUCUGUUGAUGCUGGGGCGCAAUUGUAUACUAUCUUGGAACUUUGUCGUGUUUUUGACAAGAUAUUCAAGGAGCUGGAUAGGGGGCUAACAUGAUCAGGAAGACUGGAACUACCGUAGUUGGCACAAACAAAAAGACGUGGGUACGCUCGAAAAAACUACAAGAUCUUUCUUUUCUUUCAAAAGGAGGAAAAUUUCACAUCAAUUCCUUAAUAUGUUUGUUUUUAGAAAAAUUCAAUUAGUCAUUUUUGAUAUCCCACCACCAACUCACAUGAGGCUACUAUGAUUUUGAUGAAGUAUUCCUAGAGAGUUUGCAAAGAAUGACCAUACCUUAUUGGCAUAGAUGCUUUCUAUUAAAAGAUUAGGAGUGGGGAAACAUGUGCAGUUUGGAGUCUAAUGUUGAAAACUAGGACUGGAUAUUUAAUGUUGAAAUCCAUUUAUUUUUGUUAUUCUUUUGAUACUUCACGAUGGUAUCAUCUAGGGUAACUCUUUUUGUUGUGAUCCUCCAAUCUAAAAAGGAAGUCUUUUGUGCCAAAUCAUAUUGAGAAUGUCA